UACGUAGGGUGCGAGCGUUGUCCGGAAUUAUUGGGCGUAAAGAGCUCGUAGGCGGUGUGUCACGUCGGCCGUGAAAACCUGCAGCUUAACUGUGGGCUUGCGGUCGAUACGGGCAUCACUGGAGUUCGGCAGGGGAGACUGGAAUUCCUGGUGUAGCGGUGAAAUGCGUAGAUAUCUGGAGGAACACCGGUGGCGAAGGCGGCAUCCUGGACCGGCAUUGACGCUGAUGAGCGAAAGCCAGGGGAGCAAACGGG
rnacentral:rRNA from 1 species